rnacentral:misc_RNA from 1 species
UGGGAAGGACAUUACGGAG